rnacentral:lncRNA from 1 species
UUAUUUCAGCCAACUCAGCCUCCAAGUUUAAAUUCUCUUGGCUAACUUCUACAAGGGUAUCAUUGCGAGUACUUAAAAAUACCCAACUCACUUCAAUUGCAGUUUUGUCCUCAAGGAGUCAUAAUCUUUUUCCCAUUCAACAAUCUCAUUCUUAAGCUUCUCAUUCUCAACCAAGGCAGAAUCAUAAGAAACUUGAAGAGAAGCAUGUGAACUUUCUAAAGAACGAACCUUAUCAGAAGAUUUACCAAGGUCUUCUUGAGUCUGUGUUAAAGUUUGCACGAGUUCAUCAUCAUAAGCUUCCUUCUAGCUUAAGAGAGCUUUCAACUUUCU